UCACUGGUAACGGUGAAUCUGAAGGAAGCCUAAGGCAAAAUCUGGAACUGAACGAAAGUGACCAGUGUUGGCCGGUAGAGUGGGUAACCUUGCCGUGUAUGGGGAAGCCCGAGCUCCAACUCUACAGGUUUGGAUGGCAGACGAACCCGUAGUAGUGUUGAAC
rfam:Kosmotoga olearia TBF 19.5.1, complete genome.